AGCUCAUUUGCCAGUGGAGAGUUCCAGCGUGCUGGAAUGUCGGCUUUGCCCAGAUGGGACUGCUCAUCGCAAACCCAGCUGUCAGUUUCACCUUAGGAAUGUCUGGCUUUAAUCCAAACUAGUACUGACCAGUCCAGCCUUUCUCGACAACACCAUCAUUUCUCUCAGGGGCUGUUUUCCCCCACCAUCUGGCAGGGAAUUAUUUUAUUAGCUGAAAUACAACGAGGGUUGGGCUCAGGCAGGAGAGGAGAGUGUCCGUGAUGUUCUCAGGAAACAAGAAGCUGAACGCUUAGCCUGAGACAAAUCCUAUUAGCAACAACAUGGAUCUGUGGAAAGAUUCUGUCAGCGACUCUGAGGACAGACAGGAAUGUGACAGGAGAGACGUGCCGAAGCUGUCAGGAGGUUGUAGAGAGGCCAAGAGCACACCAGAUGGGAGAGAACUCCGGAAAAGUUCACGGGCCUGUCACAAAAGUGGAAAGCGGCGUGUUCUAGCUUCCUCACAGAGACCUCCCUGCUGGACCCUCCAGACCCUGCGAGCCCAGUUGUGUGUGUCUGUAUGUAUCCUGUGUGGGCCUUCUCUGACAUCUCCACCCACACAGAGCAGCUCUUGCAAUGAAGGCACAGCCAUAUGGCAAAGACUCCGCCAACCAGGCAUUCCCGUGCAAGACUUUGAAAUGGACGCUAGUUGCCACAAGGAAUCCACUCUGGAGAAAGGGGCAGCAGGAAUGCUUAGCUCCCAGGGGCAAGAAGGGAAGAGAUGCUUGCAAUAGCAGCCCAUGCCCAGUGCCAGCAGUUGGACCAGGAUGUCUGGGCCAGGGUAGCCACAGUGGGAACUCCACUUGCACAAGGCUACAGUGUCAUUUCAGCGAUGCUCCUGAAUCCAUGGCCUCUAAGCCAGGGUCUCUGGAGAUUCUGUGAGUGUGCAUGAAUAAAUAAUAAUGAAUAAUAAAGUGUCC
rnacentral:lncRNA from 1 species